CGCAUCUGUGCAUGCAGCAUAUCAAUAAGCGGAGGAAAAGAAACUAACAAGGAUUCCCUUAGUAACGGCGAGUGAAGCGGGAAGAGCUCAAAUUUGAAAUCUUCAAGGUUUUACCUUGACGAAUUGUAGUUUAAAGAAGUGUUUUCUGUUGAAGUUUUGGUAAAAGUUCUUUGGAAUAGGACAUCAUAGAGGGUGAGAAUCCCGUAUUUGACCAUUAUUUUCAGCUGUGUGAUACACUUUCAAAGAGUCGGAUUGUUUGGGAAUGCAGUCCAAAGUGGGUGGUAAAUUUCAUCUAAAGCUAAAUAUUGGCGAGAGACCGAUAGCGAACAAGUACCGUGAGGGAAAGAUGAAAAGAACUUUGAAAAGAGAGUUAAACAGUACGUGAAAUUGUCAAAAGGGAAGCGUUUGACACCAGUGUUGUUUUCUCGAAAAUCAAUUAAAAAGAGUUAGAUUUUGUUGUGUAUUGACCUUAACAGCUUGCAUUUCAAUUUUCUUGCUUUUUUUAAUGCACUUUUCGUUUAACAAGUCAACAUCAGUUUCUUUUGUUGUAAAAAGGUCAUUGGAAGGUGGCUUUCUUUUCGGAGAAAGUGUUUAUAGCCUUUGACUCCUGCAAUCGGAGAGACUGAGGUCUGCAGCGUAGAUCCUUCGGGGUUAGAUACAUUUGUGCUAAGUUACAGCUUUUCAUAGACAACUUGUUGACUAUGUUUAGUCUUGUGACUUACCCGCUUAUGCUAUUUUACCUACGCUUAGGAUGUUGACGCGCGUGUGUGCGUG
rnacentral:rRNA from 1 species